CCUACGGGUGGCAGCAGUGAGGAAUAUUGGUCAAUGGACGAGAGUCUGAACCAGCCAAGCAGCGUGAAGGAUGACUGCCCCAUGGGUUGUAAACUUCUUUUAUCAAGGAAUAAAACGAGGCACGUGUGCCUUUUUGCAUGUACUUUAUGAAUAAGGAUCGGCUAACUCCGUGCCAGCAGCCGCGGUAAUACGGAGGAUCCGAGCGUUAACCGGAUUUAUUGGGUUUAAAGGGAGCGUAGAUGGGUUGUUAAGUCAGUUGUGAAAGGUUGCGGCUCAACCGUAAAAUUGCAAUUGAUACUGGCAGUCUUGAGUACAGUUGAGGUAGGCGGAAUUCGUAGUGUAGCGGUGAAAUGCUUAGAUAUCACGAAGAACCCCGAUUGCGAAGGCAGCUUACUAAACUGUGACUGACAUUGAUGCACGAAAGUGUGGGUAUCAAACAGGAUUAGAUACCCGUGUAGUC
rnacentral:rRNA from 1 species